rnacentral:rRNA from 1 species
UGCGCAGGCGGGCUCAUAAGUCGGGGGUUAAAUCCAUGUGCUUAACACAUGCAUGGCUUCCGAUACUGUGAGUCUGGAGUCUCGAAGAGGAAGAUGGAAUUUCCGGUGUAACGGUGGAAUGUGUAGAUAUCGGAAAGAACACCAGUGGCGAAGGCAGUCUUCUGGUCGAGAACUGACGCUCAGGCACGAAAGCGUGGGGAGCAAACAG